GGGGGCGACCAGGUUUCGACGGGGGUGGAUGAAGCAUGGGCUGCGUGCCGAGGACCCGCUGGCCUCGUAAAAAGCGGGAACCACAUAACUGCGAACAACAGUUACGCUCUCGCCGCCUAAAUAAAGGCGACGCGCCCCCUCCGCGACUGUCCGCUAGCGGAUGCGGGGUGCAAACCAGCGGACCUCAAGCCGGGGGGUGGCGAUGACCCGGUGCGAGUAGCAGUCGCCUAGCGAAGCGGAAAAGCGCGUCUGACGCGUUUCCGCCGGGCGAAUCACCAAAGGACAGACUACGCACGUAGACGCCCAUGUGGAAGCACCUUCGGACGCGGGUUCGAUUCCCGCCGCCUCCACCA
rnacentral:tmRNA from 1 species